GUGUAGGAAACUGGAGAUUGAACUAUGUAUGUAGCAGCAAGUUCAAGUAAGCUGAUAAGUAGAGGUAACUCAGCAGAAGGCUACUUCUUCCCCUCUCAGACAGAAAGGCUCUCAAACAGGUCAGGCACAUAAGAAAGUGGAGAGGUUCUAAUAGUAUGACAAUUCUCUCUUCCAUCAGCCAGUCUGGGUUAGUAGUUAAAGGGUCCAGAUCUAUAUUUUCUUCUUGUAUUUGGACCUCAAUGGAAUGGUGUUUCUGUUCUUCCUAGGCAUGGAGGCAGGCCAGGAGAGCAGUGGAGGAAGUAGAAUAAAAUAGUAUUUCUAUCUUUCCCCAACAUUCAGACCGUACCAGGUUAGGCAAAACUAGGGAACUAGGAAGAAGAAAAAAAAUAUUUUUAACCUUUUAGUGGAGGGAAAUUUAUGGAAAAGUGUUUCUGUCUUUCCUAGGCACGCAGGCCAAGCCAAGAGACUGAGGCAAAAGUAAGUUGGAAUAUAUUUUGCUUCUCAGGAAAACUAAGCCAGGAGAUCAAGUGAGGAAAAAAAAAAAAAAAGAGUGGAAUGGCAUCUGUAUUCUCAAGCACAGCAGGCCAGGGGAGCAGAAAGAAUAACUCUAUGCAAUGGUGUUGUGUUUGUUUGUUUUUUAUUUGUGUGUUUGUGUUUGUUUUCUUUUUCUUCCUAGGCAAGCAAAACCAGGAAACCAGAGAGAGUGAGCAGAAUCGAAAGGAGGACAGCAAGCCUUUAGAGAGCCUGGAUAUAUCUCAGAAAUUGGAGUUCAAAUAUACUACAUCAAGAAUGACUUUGCCUUAAUUGAACAUCUUCCAAAUAUCAAUAAAAGGCUAAGAAAAUAAGGGAGCA
ensembl:lncRNA